rnacentral:rRNA from 1 species
CACUAUCGUUAACUGAAUACAUAGGUUAACGAGGCGAACCGGGGGAACUGAAACAUCUAAGUACCCCGAGGAAAAGAAAUCAACCGAGAUUCCCCCAGUAGCGGCGAGCGAACGGGGAGCAGCCCAGAGUCUGAAUCAGCUUGUGUGUUAGUGGAACGGUCUGGAAAGUCCGACGGUACAGGGUGAUAGUCCCGUACACCAAAAUGCACAGGCUGUGAACUCGAAGAGUAGGGCGGGACACGUGGUAUCCUGUCUGAAUAUGGGGGGACCAUCCUCCAAGGCUAAAUACUCCUGACUGACCGAUAGUGAACCAGUACCGUGAGGGAAAGGCGAAAAGAACCCCGGCGAGGGGAGUGAAAAAGAACCUGAAACCGUGUACGUACAAGCAGUGGGAGCACCUUCGGGUGUGACUGCGUACCUUUUGUAUAAUGGGUCAGCGACUUAUAUUCUGUAGCAAGGUUAACCGUAUAGGGGAGCCGCAGGGAAACCGAGUCUUAACUGGGCGUUAAGUUGCAGGGUAUAGACCCGAAACCCGGUGAUCUAGCCAUGGGCAGGUUGAAGGUUGGGUAACACUAACUGGAGGACCGAACCGACUAAUGUUGAAAAAUUAGCGGAUGACUUGUGGCUGGGGGUGAAAGGCCAAUCAAACCGGGAGAUAGCUGGUUCUCCCCGAAAGCUAUUUAGGUAGCGCCUCGUGAAUUCAUCUUCGGGGGUAGAGCACUGUUUCGGCUAGGGGGUCAUCCCGACUUACCAACCCGAUGCAAACUACGAAUACCGAAGAAUGUUAUCACGGGAGACACACGGCGGGUGCUAACGUCCGUCGUGAAGAGGGAAACAACCCAGACCGCCAGCUAAGGUCCCAAAGUCAUGGUUAAGUGGGAAACGAUGUGGGAAGGCACAGACAGCCAGGAUGUUGGCUUAGAAGCAGCCAUCAUUUAAAGAAAGCGUAAUAGCUCACUGGUCGAGUCGGCCUGCGCGGAAGAUGUAACGGGGCUAAACCAUGCACCGAAGCUGCGGCAGCGACACUAUGUGUUGUUGGGUAGGGGAGCGUUCUGUAAGCCUGCGAAGGUGACCUGUGAGGGUUGCUGGAGGUAUCAGAAGUGCGAAUGCUGACAUAAGUAACGAUAAAGCGGGUGAAAAGCCCGCUCGCCGGAAGACCAAGGGUUCCUGUCCAACGUUAAUCGGGGCAGGGUGAGUCGACCCCUAAGGCGAGGCCGAAAGGCGUAGUCGAUGGGAAACAGGUUAAUAUUCCUGUACUUGGUGUUACUGCGAAGGGGGGACGGAGAAGGCUAUGUUAGCCGGGCGACGGUUGUCCCGGUUUAAGCAUGUAGGCUGGUUGUCCAGGCAAAUCCGGAUAAUCAAGGCUGAGGUGUGAUGACGAGGCACUACGGUGCUGAAGUAACAAAUGCCCUGCUUCCAGGAAAAGCCUCUAAGCAUCAGGUAACAUCAAAUCGUACCCCAAACCGACACAGGUGGUCAGGUAGAGAAUACCAAGGCGCUUGAGAGAACUCGGGUGAAGGAACUAGGCAAAAUGGUGCCGUAACUUCGGGAGAAGGCACGCUGGUGUGUAGGUGAAGUCCCUGCGGAUGGAGCUGAGACCAGUCGAAGAUACCAGCUGGCUGCAACUGUUUAUUAAAAACACAGCACUGUGCAAACACGAAAGUGGACGUAUACGGUGUGACGCCUGCCCGGUGCCGGAAGGUUAAUUGAUGGGGUUAUCCGUAAGGAGAAGCUCUUGAUCGAAGCCCCGGUAAACGGCGGCCGUAACUAUAACGGUCCUAAGGUAGCGAAAUUCCUUGUCGGGUAAGUUCCGACCUGCACGAAUGGCGUAAUGAUGGCCAGGCUGUCUCCACCCGAGACUCAGUGAAAUUGAACUCGCUGUGAAGAUGCAGUGUACCCGCGGCAAGACGGAAAGACCCCGUGAACCUUUACUAUAGCUUGACACUGAACAUUGAGCCUUGAUGUGUAGGAUAGGUGGGAGGCUUUGAAGCGUGGACGCCAGUCUGCGUGGAGCCAACCUUGAAAUACCACCCUUUAAUGUUUGAUGUUCUAACGUUGGCCCCUUACCGGGGUUGCGGACAGUGUCUGGUGGGUAGUUUGACUGGGGCGGUCUCCUCCCAAAGCGUAACGGAGGAGCACGAAGGUUAGCUAAUCCUGGUCGGACAUCAGGAGGUUAGUGCAAUGGCAUAAGCUAGCUUGACUGCGAGCGUGACGGCGCGAGCAGGUGCGAAAGCAGGUCAUAGUGAUCCGGUGGUUCUGAAUGGAAGGGCCAUCGCUCAACGGAUAAAAGGUACUCCGGGGAUAACAGGCUGAUACCGCCCAAGAGUUCAUAUCGACGGCGGUGUUUGGCACCUCGAUGUCGGCUCAUCACAUCCUGGGGCUGAAGUAGGUCCCAAGGGUAUGGCUGUUCGCCAUUUAAAGUGGUACGCGAGCUGGGUUUAGAACGUCGUGAGACAGUUCGGUCCCUAUCUGCCGUGGGCGCUGGAGAAUUGAGGGGGGCUGCUCCUAGUACGAGAGGACCGGAGUGGACGCAUCACUGGUGUUCGGGUUGUCAUGCCAAUGGCACUGCCCGGUAGCUAAAUGCGGAAGAGAUAAGUGCUGAAAGCAUCUAAGCACGAAACUUGCCCCGAGAUGAGUUCUCCCUGAGACUUUAAGUCUCCUGAAGGAACGUUGAAGACGACGACGUUGAUAGGCCGGGUGUGUAAGCGCAGCGAUGCGUUGAGCUAACCGGUACUAAUGAACCGUGAGGCUUAACCUUACAACGCCGAAG